rnacentral:rRNA from 1 species
CAGUCUGCGUGGAGCCGACCUUGAAAUACCACCCUUUAAUGUUUGAUGUUCUAACGUGGACCCGUAAUCCGGGUUGCGGACAGUGUCUGGUGGGUAGUUUGACUGGGGCGGUCUCCUCCUAAAGAGUAACGGAGGAGCACGAAGGUUGGCUAAUCCUGGUCGGACAUCAGGAGGUUAGUGCAAUGGCAUAAGCCAGCUUGACUGCGAGCGUGACGGCGCGAGCAGGUGCGAAAGCAGGUCAUAGUGAUCCGGUGGUUCUGAAUGGAAGGGCCAUCGCUCAACGGAUAAAAGGUACUCCGGGGAUAACAGGCUGAUACCGCCCAAGAGUUCAUAUCGACGGCGGUGUUUGGCACCUCGAUGUCGGCUCAUCACAUCCUGGGGCUGAAGUAGGUCCCAAGGGUAUGGCUGUUCGCCAUUUAAAGUGGUACGCGAGCUGGGUUUAGAACGUCGUGAGACAGUUCGGUCCCUAUCUGCCGUGGGCGCUGGAGAACUGAGGGGGGCUGCUCCUAGUACGAGAGGACCGGAGUGGACGCAUCACUGGUGUUCGGGUUGUCAUGCCAAUGGCACUGCCCGGUAGCUAAAUGCGGAAGAGAUAAGUGCUGAAAGCAUCUAAGCACGAAACUUGCCCCGAGAUGAGUUCUCCCUGAGACUUUAGGUCUCCUGAAGGAACGUUGAAGACGACGACGUUGAUAGGCCGGGUGUGUAAGCGCAGCGAUGCGUUGAGCUAACCGGUACUAAUGAACCGUGAGGCUUAACCUUACA